rnacentral:rRNA from 1 species
GCCCCGGUAAACGGCGGCCGUAACUAUAACGGUCCUAAGGUAGCGAAAUUCCUUGUCGGGUAAGUUCCGACCUGCACGAAUGGCGUAAUGAUGGCCAGGCUGUCUCCACCCGAGACUCAGUGAAAUUGAACUCGCUGUGAAGAUGCAGUGUACCCGCGGCAAGACGGAAAGACCCCGUGAACCUUUACUAUAGCUUGACACUGAACAUUGAGCCUUGAUGUGUAGGAUAGGUGGGAGGCUUUGAAGUGUGGACGCCAGUCUGCAUGGAGCCGACCUUGAAAUACCACCCUUUAAUGUUUGAUGUUCUAACGUUGGCCCGUAAUCCGGGUUGCGGACAGUGUCUGGUGGGUAGUUUGACUGGGGCGGUCUCCUCCUAAAGAGUAACGGAGGAGCACGAAGGUUGGCUAAUCCUGGUCGGACAUCAGGAGGUUAGUGCAAUGGCAUAAGCCAGCUUGACUGCGAGCGUGACGGCGCGAGCAGGUGCGAAAGCAGGUCAUAGUGAUCCGGUGGUUCUGAAUGGAAGGGCCAUCGCUCAACGGAUAAAAGGUACUCCGGGGAUAACAGGCUGAUACCGCCCAAGAGUUCAUAUCGACGGCGGUGUUUGGCACCUCGAUGUCGGCUCAUCACAUCCUGGGGCUGAAGUAGGUCCCAAGGGUAUGGCUGUUCGCCAUUUAAAGUGGUACGCGAGCUGGGUUUAGAACGUCGUGAGACAGUUCGGUCCCUAUCUGCCGUGGGCGCUGGAGAACUGAGGGGGGCUGCUCCUAGUACGAGAGGACCGGAGUGGACGCAUCACUGGUGUUCGGGUUGUCAUGCCAAUGGCACUGCCCGGUAGCUAAAUGCGGAAGAGAUAAGUGCUGAAAGCAUCUAAGCACGAAACUUGCCCCGAGAUGAGUUCUCCCUGACUCCUUGAGGGUCCUGAAGGAACGUUGAA